UACAGAGGGGGCAAGCGUUGUUCGGAAUUACUGGGCGUAAAGGGCGCGUAGGCGGCCUUCUAAGUCGAACGUGAAAUCCCCGGGCUCAACCCGGGAACUGCGUCCGAUACUGGAAGGCUUGAAUCCGGGAGAGGGAUGUGGAAUUCCAGGUGUAGCGGUGAAAUGCGUAGAUAUCUGGAGGAACACCGGUGGCGAAGGCGGCUACCUGGACCAGCACUGACACUGAGGCACGAAAGCGUGGGGAGCAAACAGG
rnacentral:rRNA from 1 species